GCCAGAUGUGGUGGCAUACACUUGUAAUCCUAGCAACUCAGGAGGCUGAGGCAGGAGGAUCACAAGUUCAAAGCCAGCCUCAGCAAAUUAGCAAGGCCCCAAGCAACUUAGUGAGACCCUGUCUCAA
rnacentral:sRNA from 1 species